UGUCUCCAAACAAGCAAUAACGAGGCAUUUUAAUCCCAACCACACCGGCUGCGCACGGACCUGAACACAAGACAAAAUAGAAAUUAUCUGAAAAAACAGAUUUGGUCAAACACUCUAAACCAAAUAUCUGAAGGAAGAGUAGAUGGGCUGGGAAUAAGGAGAAAAUGGAGAAUUUUACAGUUGGAUGGAACUGAUUAAAUUCUGAAAAACAGAAAGGAAGAAGACAAAAGACCAGGUUUUGGGCAGCAUUCCAAGAUCAGACUGAAGAUUAACAAUGUAGAUUCAAUUGUAUUUAAAAAAAAAUUGAUCAAGAUAAUGACAAAGGGAAGGGAGUUUUUUUUCCUGAAAAAUUCAAACAGAAAAAAAAAUUGUUUUAUUGGGACCAAGUGCAUCCUUACUUUUAAAAAACAGAAGUUUAAAUUGAAUUCAGUACAAAAUGCAAGAGAAUUUCUGGAAAAUUUUAAAGGGGAAAGGGAAGAAAUGCAAAUAGAGGUCAUAAAAAUGACUAAACAACAACUACAGAAUACUGAAGAUGAUGCUUCCAUCUUAGGCA